GAUGCCUCACGAAUCCAUCCGGGGCGUGCUCUGCUCCUCCAAAGCGAAGCCGCAUCACCUCAUCCCCUCGGCAAGGCUUCACGUCCGAGCGGAUGAAGGCAAAGCUGCGAGUGCUCGAGACGCUCAUUCUCUUACACAGUGGUGGUCAGAUGGAGCAGUCGUUCAGGUGCAAUUUGUCAACUUGACAGGUCAAGAACACUUGGAUCAUCCGCUGCAAAUCCCGUUUGGGGGGAUAAGCUACGAAGCUAUGGUGUAGUACGCGGCUACAUAUUUUCUCUGUGCUCAAAGAACCCGAGAAAAAAGUUUUUUUAUUUUUUCCUGUGCUAGACCAAGGUUUGAAGAGAACGCGGCGUGUUUUCGACGUUCAAUCUUACUGGAAGAACGUCACAGGUGGAUGUUUACCACGUCAUGACUUUAUAAUGAACACUUUCAUUGUCUUGCUCGAGCCAAAGCCUUCAAAGUAAGUUUGCUCGCGUUUGUUUUUGUUAGAUGGUUAAAGAGAGAACGAGGCCGGAUAAUGAGGGUUGGCGGUUUCAACUAGAGAAGCACAAGCCAGUGAGCUUCCCGAAAAUGAGAUUUUUUAAUCGAUGAAGCGUCACUCUGCUUCCAUGCUAUGAGAAGGGUUUGCUCGAGGACAUGGAAGGUAAUCUUGUUCCAUUAUCAGUUCCUUUUGGGGCAUCCCUUUUGCAGUACUAUAAGGUGCUUCUCGCCACUCUUCUAGGCAUUGCCCUUGUGAUGAAGAAAAGGAGCAAAGAAGCGCCUGUGUUGCUGCAAGACGACAUUGAGACGGUUCUCAGCUAUGUGGACCUGGCCACACUAGCGACCUCAUGCUCCGCCGUUUGCAAGUCAUGGAACGCCAUCAUCGGCGAUCCAUCCUUUCGCCGCCGCUGGUGCCAAAACAGUGGCCACAAGGAAUCCUUGCGGCUUAUGACUAGCUCCUUCGACUACGGCGAGCGUUGCCACGCCUGGGAUCCAUCACGGCCCCAACGCAGCGUGGAGUUUCCGUUGCCCCACAAAACGGAAGAACUUCCUAACGCUCAAGUGGUUGCUUCCGCGGGUGGCCUGGUAUGCGUCUUCAGGACGCACAGGGGCAUGGUUGAUCCUGCUGAUGAUGUGUUUCACCUGGUGGUGGGGAAUCCAGUGACCCAAGAGUGGAGCGAACUACCACCGCUCCAUUGGGAGGACAGAGAAAGAUGCACUUUAGCGGGAGUGAUCGACUUUGCCAUGUUCGUCGACAAGAAUGGCUUCAAAGUCGGUCUGCACUACACCGCUGUCGACUUCUCAGGCCACUGGUGCUGCAUCUACGACUCGGCAACGCGCUCCUGGUCUUCUCUCCCCAAGCUCCCGUUCUCGCCAGCCUACGUCAAAAUGAAGGCGCAGCGGCUUUCAGAUUACAGCGUGGACGUGCCACCCCCUGCUGUAUUCCCAGGCUUGGACGAUUACUUCUACGAUCUCACCAUCCUGGGAUUUUACGACUUUGGCCGCGGCAGGUGGAGCACCGGGGAAGUCGUGCGCAGCCUGAGGAUUACAACAGGCCUGGAAGACAAGGUUGACCCGGAUGGAGAGAUCCUGCGCUGCGUCUUGCCGCUCCCGGGACUGUGCACCGCGAGGCUGUGGGAGUACAAUGGCCAGCGAUACUUGGCAAGUGGCUGGGUGUAUGCGGGAGGCUACCGCGAGGCAGGGGAGUCCGGAGUUGAUGGCUAUGGCGUGUGGAAGGUUGACGACAAGGGUGGCUUGGUUGCCGUCUCUGCAAAGACCCAUAAAUCGAUCCUUCGUCAAGUGUACGCUGGGCAGCGCUUUUUCGGAGCGGUUUUCCGUUGUUCUGUUCAUGCAGAGGCCAAUCUGGUGAUCUUUUCAGAGAUAGGGAUCAUGUUUGUUUACGACUUGAGCACAGGGGAUUGGGGCGGAGUAGGGGGGCACGUAGAUGAAUAUUCACAAGCAGUGAUUUUUCGCCCGUCCCUCAGGGCACCUAGAUGAUCCAGAAAGGAGGAUGAACGCCACACAAACAGGUAUUGUUAAUCCCAAGAAGGAAGUAGAGUACAUAAAUUGCAAGAUAUAUUACAUUAUUGAGAUUAUUGUAAUAGUAGCUUAGUAUAAUAAAAUGUAUUGAGAAGCAAAGAUUAAUUAUAGAGUGGAUAAAUAUUUGCUUGUUUUUUGCAUUUUAUGAGUUGAAUAUAUUUUUAUUCAAAGAGUUUUAAAGAUGGCACUAAUUAAUAUUUACUAAGAAGUUUUUAGUUUAUAACAAUAAGAGAAAUUGUUGAACUUUGUGAAUUUUAUCAAUUGAUGCUAUUAAAUAAAGGGAAAUAUUGUUUUUUCACUAUGCAUUUUUUUGAAUUUUUUUUGUAAUGUUGAGUCAACCAAUAAGUGUAUGACAUACAUUAGGUUAGGGAAGAAGGUAGAUAUAAUAUUUAAUUUUUUGCUUAUUUAAAUAAAUUUUGUGAGAGUAAAAUUUUCUUUACUAUAAGAUGCUCCUUUCCUUAAUUUUCUUUUUAGGGUAAUAAGUCCAUUUCUCACAUCUUUAUUUAAAUCUUUGUAAGUUUUCUAAUUUCUUAUUUUUUACUACAAAAAUAUUAAAUCUAUAAAUAUUCUUCAAUCCUAAUAUAAAUCAUACUAUAUUUUGAAGAUUUCAAAGGCGAAAGGGGAUUGUAGGGAUUAGCUUCUUUUAAAACAUAUUAAAGAAAUAUUAAGCCAACUUCAAGAAUAAAUAAAAAUUUAAUCUCAAAGAAGAAAGUUAACACACUUUAUCCUAUUAUUUUUUUUCAGAUAAGGGAAAAUGUGAAUUUUUUUUUAAAGAGAAUCAUUCCUUUGGUAAAAAAAUACAUAAGUCCAAGAAAAAGAAGCUAGCAUAGUAGCAUCUUAGGAAACUAAAAAAAAAAGUAUAAUAUAAAAUAGUUUAAAGAUUUCUAAAUUUAAUUCAAAUUUACACUUUCAUUUUAUAAUCACUUUUUAACAUCCUUAUGAUGCCUCAAGAUAUGGGGGAAUAUAAUUUCUCCUUCUUUAAUCCCUAUUAAGUUCUUUUUUGUUCACAACAAUAUUUGCCAAUUCUGUUAUUAGAACAAGUUCCAAGAGUUAAUAAGAUUUAAUGAAUAAGUUUUUGAGCCUUCCUCACCACAUAACUAUACCUUUAGUUAUUAAGCAAAAGGACCAUUCAUUUUUUAUUAAAUUCCCCAAUCAUGUAUUUAAAGUAAAGUUCUGAUGAGUUAUACAAAAUAUUCAAAUAGUGCUACCCACACUUGGAUUAAGAGCAUUGACCAUUCAAUCUCCUAAAAAAGAUAGAGCUAAAUAUUAUACAUUUCAACAAAUCAUUCAAUUUAUCCAUUCAUGUUUAUUUUAACCUUGGACUCCUUAAUAUUUACAUCAUCACCCACCAUAUGAAAAUAACAUUUUUUGGUCAUAUUGAUUCUUUAGAAUCCUCCUCUUAUUAUCCCAUAGAAACUUAUUAAACCCCUUAAUGUUUAGGAAAAAAUUGCUUUAGGCUUUCACCCCACCUUCAAAUAUGUUUGUCUCUAGAUAUAUCAAGCCUUGGACUUGGUCUUGGACAUGGUCUCAAACUUGGUCUAAGACUUGAUCCUAGACUUAAUUUUAAACUUGAUCUUAGAGUUGUUUCAGAUUGGGUUUCGAACUCAGUCUUGGACUUUAUCUCAACAUUUCUAUAUAUUACAAUAAUUGUCACAUGUUAGUCAUUCUCUUGUCUCUUUUUUAAAAACUCAUUUAUUAAUCAUUUUAUACUCAUUCCUCAAACAUUUUUUUAGGAGUUUAUUUCCACUCUCAACUUUUUAAGUCAAAGCUUUUGGUCCAAAUAUGUUAUGUUCAUUGAACUUUUGCCUCAAUCACUACCUCACAUUCAACUUUACUUUGGGGCUUAAAGAUUUGUGUUUUAUAAGUGUUUCAUAACUAAUCCAGUUUGAUAUAUUUGACAUAUAACUUAUAUAUGGCAUGGCUAUCAGGAAGAAGGCAGUAAUCAUAGUGUAAUAUUGAGGCUUAGGGGAAAAACAUUUUUGAGAGCUAAAAACACCUAAGUAAGAUUUUAGAGCUAAAAUUCUAUCACAAUAUUUAAUUUUGUGUUUUCAAUUGCUAUAUAGGAUAAAGAGAAAUUAGUGCCAUAAGGUUGGGGUGUUUACCAUGUAGGAGUGAGGCAUAAAAUUUAUGGAGGUUUAAAUAAAGGCACUUCUCACCUAAGUCUUUAAUUCAAACCCCAUAUCUAUAUGAUAAAUGGAAAAUUAUGAAGUAAAUUUUUAUGUAGAUUUUAUGACAUUUUAGGCUAUAAUAGAUUUGAUUGUCACCACAUUUUUUAAUUGCAAAUUUAGCCAUUUGGAGAAAAAGAAACUCAUCCUAUUGUUCUAUUUCAUUAGUAUUCUUAAGUUUAGAAAAGAACUUAAUAAAACUAUACAAAUAUGUAAUUUGUUGAGUUCAACUAUCUAUUAAGUUGCAUUUUAUUAUAGGGUUAAAAUAUCAAAGGUUAUUUUAAUGACAAACUGAAUGAAUGUGUGGUGCUCAUAUCAAAUUUCACUGCUACUGCAUCCAAGAAAGAAAGUAAAGUGGUUAAUACUGAUGAAAAACUUUUUUCAAAUUUGAAAGGGUAAGAUAUAAGCUUUAUAUAUAAAGAAUGCUGAAAGUUAUUGUGAGUAUGGGAUGGGUUUGGGUAUUUGGGAGCUAGGAUUAUAUAUAUCUGGGAACCAAUGGGGGAGCCAGUGGCAAUGUUGUAGCAUGUUUCCUUGAUAAAUUUAGUUACUUAUCUUUUUAGUUUAACAAGAGACAAGACAUUAGUAUCCAGUUUAACUCUAGUUCAAAAAGCAAUUUGCUCUUUACUGUGUAUGUUACUAAGUUUUCGCCUCAUUAAAUAGCUUAAACCUUUAUUUAUCAUUAUGACGCACUAUUUUAAAAAAGUGGUUUAACAGCUAGCAUAAAUUUAAAUAGCUAUAAAUAUAACAAAACAAGCAUUUGAGGAAUAAGAACCACCCUUGCAAGUUCUGUUGAAAAUUUGGCUGAAGUGUCGGCGGUGUCCAUGAUGCGAGAGAACGCGUUCAAGCCCUAGCCAGCGUUCCAUGCGGGGGCCGAUCGCCAAUGCCAGAGGACGAUGCCUAUCGAUUCGAGGUCACGGGGCCAAAGCGCAAGCACUUCAACUGGUAAAGAAUCUCGCCGCCCUAGCUGCACUGCUCUGUUUGAAGCGAUUCUUGGCGGGCUGGGUGUGUGAUUUUGGCAGUAGAAUCCCGUUUCGAUUGAUUCCAAUCACCCCCGAGAGAAUUCUCAGCUACCCUAGGCUUGUCUUUGAUCAUAGCCUUUCAUUUGUCCCAUUUUGGUGUCUCUUUCGUUCACUUGCGUGCUAAGUGCUGAUUGAUAAGUAGUUCGAUGGCUAGUCUUUAGUGGAUUGGUCCUCACUUCUCCAUUCUUUUUUUUUGUUGUUUCGCAAAGCUUGCUUGGGCUUGAGUUCAUUGUCUACUUUUUUGUUUCAUUGCUGCUAAAGACUUGGUCCGGUUAGAGUUCUCGUCCUUUAAAAGCUUUUUAUCUCGAUUCCUCGCGAGUUCUUACCAUACAUUCUUUCCAGGGAUGUUCCGGACGACAAAAGAGCAAUCUUGGCAUGCCUUGUGUCAAGCGUGUACUCACUCCAGCACGACAGAUCGAAAAACUACACAGGAACUCCGCAAGCUCUCGCUCCUCCCUGGUGGACGUCCUUCAACUACGAGCUCCUCGACGUGAUCCUCGGCAAUGACAAGCUCCGGAUCAACGGCGCAGUGUUCGUGUGGAACUACAAAAACCACUGGAAGCCUGCCCGAGCUCCGAUGGUGGUCCUGGCGCUCAGAGGCACGGACAGCCUAACCAGCAACUACAUCGUCGACUUCAAGAUCGCCAACCAGGAGCUUUACAAGACAGGCAGGUUCACAGCCGCGUACAACGCUCUCCGAAACGCCGUCGCAUGGCAUGGCAAGGACAACGUUUGCAUCACGGGGCACUCGCUCGGAGCAGCGGUGGCGCUCUCCGCCGCUCGGAUGAUGGCAUCGCAGGGCCAGUUCGUCGAGGCUCAUCUCUUCAAUCCUCCAUUCUCGUCCUCGACCGCUCCAUACAAGUCACUCUUCGGUGCUGAGACUUACAGCAAUCUCCAAGAGGUUUACACCGUUGCAAAGGCCGGGCUCGUCAACUUGCUGGUGGAUGCCGCAAAGAGAAGGGAGUCCGAGGCAGAGUUUGCGGCACUUGGAAGCUGGUACCCGGACAUGUAUGUUCAUCCCAGUGAUCCGGUAUGCUCGGGCUUUCUCGAGCACUUCAAGAACUAUCAGUAUAUGCUACAGGGGAAGUACGCGAGAUUGGCGAUGCCUCACGAAUCCAUCCGGGGCGUGCUCUGCUCCUCCAAAGCGAAGCCGCAUCACCUCAUCCCCUCGGCAAGGCUUCACGUCCCAGCGGAUGACGGCAAAGCUGCGAGUGCUCGAGACGCUCAUUCUCUUACACAGUGGUGGUCGGAUGGAGCAGUCGUUCAGGUGCAAUUUGUCAACUUGACAGGUCAAGAACACUUGGAUCAUCCGCUGCAAAUCCCGUUUGGGGGGAUAAGCGACGAAGCUAUGGUGUAGUACGUACAUAUUUUCUCUGUGCUCAAAGAACCCGAGAAAAAAGUUUUUAUUUUUUCCUGUGCUAGACCAAGGUUUGAAGAGAUCGCGGCGUGUUUUCGACGUUCAAUCUUACUGGAAGAACGUCACAGGUGGAUGUUUACCACGUCAUGACUUUACAAUGAACACUUUCAUUGUCUGCUCGAGCCAAAGCCUUCAAAGUAAGUUUGCUCGCGUUUGUUUUUGUUAGAUGGUUAAAGAGAGAACGAGGCCGGAUAAUGAGGGUUGGCGGUUUCAACUGGAGAAGCACAAACCAGUGAGGACAGAUAAUGGGGAAUAACUUCAGAAAGAAGAAGCUGAGCUUCCCGAAAAUGAGAUUUUUUAAUCGAUCAAGCGUUCACUCUGCUUCCGCGAAAGUUAGGUUUUUUAUGGAGCUCCUUGCAUCCCUUUUGCAGUACUAUAAGGUCACUCUUCUAGGUAUUGCCCUUGUGAUGAAGAAACGGAGAAAUGAAGCGCCUGUGUUGCUGCAAGACGACGUUUUGGAGACGGUUCUCAGCUAUGUGGACCUGGCCACACUAGCGACCUCAUGUUCCGCCGUUUGCAAGUCAUGGAACGCCAUCAUCGGCGAUCCAUCCUUUCGCCGCCGCUGGUGCCAAAACAGUGGCCACAAGGAAUCCUUGCGGCUUAUGACUAGCUCCUUCGACUACGGCGAGCGUUGCCACGCCUGGGAUCCAUCACGGCCCCAACGCAGCGUGGAGUUUCCGUUGCCCCACAAAACGGAAGAAUUUCCUAACGCUCAAGUGGUUGCUUCCGCGGGUGGCCUGGUAUGCGUCUUCAGGACGCACAGGGGCAUGGUUGAUCCUGCUGAUGAUGUGUUUCACCUGGUGGUGGGGAAUCCAGUGACCCAAGAGUGGAGCGAACUACCACCGCUCCAUUGGGAGGACAGAGAAAGAUGCACUUUAGCGGGAGUGAUCGACUUUGCCAUGUUCGUCGACAAGAAUGGCUUCAAAGUCGGUCUGCACUACACCGCUGUCGACUUCUCAGGCCACUGGUGCUGCAUCUACGACUCGGCAACGCGCUCCUGGUCUUCUCUCCCCAAGCUCCCGUUCUCGCCAGCCUACGUCAAAAUGAAGGCGCAGCGGCUUUCAGAUUACAGCGUGGACAUGGCACCCCCUGCUGUAUUCCCAGGCUUGGACGAUUACUUCUACGAUCUCACCAUCCUGGGAUUUUACGACUUUGGCCGCGGCAGGUGGAGCACCGGGGAACUCGUGCGCAGCCUGAGGAUUACAACAGGCCUGGAAGACAAGGUUGACCCGGAUGGAGAGAUCCUGCGCUGCGUCUUGCCGCUCCCGGGACUGUGCACCGCGAGGCUGUGGGAGUACAAUGGCCAGCGAUACUUGGCAAGUGGCUGGGUGUAUGCGGGAGGCUACCGCGAGGCAGGGGAGUCCGGAGUUGAUGGCUAUGGCGUGUGGAAGGUUGACGACAAGGGUGGCUUGGUUGCCGUCUCUGCAAAGACCCAUAUAUCGAUCCUUCGUCAAGUGUACGCUGGGCAGCGCUCUGUGGGAGCGGUUUUCCGUUGUUCUGUUCAUGCAGAGGCCAAUCUGGUGAUCUUUUCAGAGAUAGGGCUCAUGUUUGUUUACGACUUGAGCACAGGGGAUUGGGGCGGAGUAGGGGGGCACGUAGAUGAAUAUUCACAAGCAGUGAUUUUUCGCCCGUCCCUCAGGGCACCUAGAUGAUCCAGAAAGGAGGAUGAACGCCACACAAACAGGUAUUGUUAAUCCUGAGCUAGUCUGUAAGUUAACGAGACUUCCUGGGCUGGCAGGAACACACACACCUGUUUGGAGCAUUGGCGAAGUCUGUCUAUUAUUCAAGAAUUAUACACAUUAUGUACAUAUAAGAUUUUGAGAUUCUAUGUACAUAGAAGAUUUUGCCUCCCAGAGGAUUGCUACUCAACAGUACGGUAGACAUAUUCAUGAUGGGGAUGAAAGUCUACUCUUCAAAUCAAUCAAUGCCUCGUGAUCCGCUGGUACGCUGCACCAUUCCUGGGCCAUAUUCGUAGGUCGGAUUCGAGACCUCCGCGCCGAAGAUCUCACGCUGCUGCGGCCGUGGUCUCCUUGUUCCACUUUAGAAUUUGUGACCUUAGCAGGCAAAGCUCAUGAACAUGCUCUCCAUCCGCGAUCGCAGUCUUUGCGCUCCCUCGCCGCGGCCUUUGGAAGCCGCCGAUAAGACUGCGCCACUUUCUGGCGGCUCCUGGUAGAAAAAGAAAAAGAAAAAAAACAAAACAAAACCAAAGAACCUUUUUGCUUUCCCGUCAAGGCGAAUUUCUGGAAUUCGUCUUCGCUGCUCAAGACGAUUGUCGCUCAAUCCGGCAGCUCUUUAAACAUCUACGACCACAAAACAAACGCGUGACCACCGUAGCAAAACAUUUCACAUACUUACUUUCAUAAAUCGUGAUCAUUCGAGCAUAUCACGACAACAAAAACUAUGAGGCGACAUCCAAAGUGAAAACCAUUUCUUCAGAACAUCGAAAACAAGAACUUACAUGAAUAACUUUGCGCCAUUGUUUCAACCUCUUUCUCCUCCAACCAAGAACACGAAGGAAAAAAAAAAACCUCUCCCCCAGAUAGACGCAGAGAAAGAAAGCCCAAGCGCAGGCAGCAAGAAAGAAGAGAGACUUACCCGUGUAGCGUUUUGGAGCAUUCCCUGGGAUCCAAUGGAGGCGGCCGAGCAAAUGGGUCGGCGCUAAACCUUGCGAGGCGCGGCGGCGAGCACAGCCCAGUUCCCCAAUCGCUGGAAUCGGCGAGAGCGGCGGCCCCAAAAGCCUCCAAAUCUUUGCUUGCCACCUUUUGCUAGACGAAACGAGCGAGGGGACUAGCGCACCACCCUCGACGCCAUGGAUGGUGGUGGUGGUGGACGCUUAAACUCACGCACACGCACACGGGGGCACACCACUUAAUAGAAAGAAAGAGAAAGAAAGAAGAAACCCAACCCAACUCUCUCCUCUCUCUUUGAGUUGAUGGCCUAACUCUCUAAGUAAGAGUGCGAUGCACGACUUUCACCUCUAACACGAAAAAGAAAGGGCAAACAAUGGGAGAGAGAGAGCCCAAAAGGUAAGAAAAAAAAAAAGAUUGAGAAGAAAAAACGGCAAAAAGAAGAACAAUGAGGGUUAAAAUGUAUAAACCGACUUGGGUGGUGGAAAUUAUUUCCCCCCAGCGGUCCAAUCCAUGGUGGCUUAAGGUGAGAUUAAAGGCUAAUCACAAUUAGCCGCGGGCCAACGACUGCUAUGUGCCACCGCCACCCUUCGGGAAAACAAAUAGGAUUUGUGUUAACCGAGGUGGAGUUUAUUACCAUUAGCGGGUGAUUAGCGCCGCAGGCGUCAGAUUGCUUUGCAGCAACGGUGAGGAUUGGAGGGCGCCAGCGCUUUACAUGUCUACGUGUACACUGCAUGGACCAGGAAGCAAAAAGCAAAAAAUAAUGCUUGCCUCUCUUUUAUAUGUUUCAAGCCUUGUUGUGUUUUUUUAGGGGCCACCACCUUUGGGUUUGUAAUGAGGGAAAAUUUUGACCAAGGACGUGGAGUUUGUGGGUCGGCCUGCUGCCGCUGCCUCGUCUAGCAAUAAAGUGGAGAAAGGGGGUGCAAUCGCCACCGUUACUUUUAGCGCUUACCUGUCCCAUUAUGUUGGAUUUUGAUUUUGGUCAAUGAUUAGGUACUUUAAGAUCUUUAACCAUAUUUAUGUACUAAAUUGUUUCUGAAGAAAUUUCAAAUGACACUAAUCAUCAAGUAGACUUUAAAACUAAAUUCUACCGCCAAAACAAACAUGCCAAAAAUUAAAUAUGAAGAAUUAAAGUUCUAGUGUUCUAAAGUUCCCUACUCCGAAGUGUGUGAAUGAUGUGCAGCGCUUCUUGGGUAAGGUGUAGUAUCUCGGUCGUUUUGUGGAUCAUCUUUCCGAUCGCACUACACCAUUGCGAGCGUUGCUGAAGUCAUCAACGUCAUCUUUCAUCUGGUCUCCGGAUUGUGAGCGGGCGUUCGUGGAUCUCAAGGAGCUAUUGACGACUCAUCCGGUUUUGGCAUAUCCUGACUACACUCGACCUUUUAUUUUGCGCAUAGAUGCUUCUGACAUUGGUCUUGGAGGUGUUUUGAUGCAAGAGAGCUCGAGUGUGCCUGGUCAGCGCCACCCCAUUGCCUACAUAAGCCGUACAUUACAACUAGCGGAGAUGAACUACUCCACGACGGAGAAGGAGUGUUUAGCAGCAGUCUGGGGUUUCGAGAAACUUCAUGCAUAUCUACAUGGUUCUCGGAUGUUACUUGAAGGUGACCAUGCUGUUGUUACUUCAUUAUUGAAGCGGAAGAACCUGGUUGGUCGUACGGCUCGAUGGGCUUUGAAACUUCAAAUAUAUAAUUUCGAUGUUCAUCGCCCAAGGAGUUCUAUGGCUGAUGCUGAUGCCCUUUCUCGAGCUCCUCUUCCUUCUCCACUCACUUCUCAUGUUUCUGACGAACCUGUUGUUCCAACAUCUGUGGAUUUUCUAGAUGAGGAUUCUGUGCCAUUGGCGGUUGCUGUCCUUGACGUUCAGUGUCCACAAGGCACAGAGCAAGAUCUACCUUCUCUUGAUGAGGUUCGCGAUGCUCAAAAGAUUGAGCUGUGGAUUCGAAGGCUUCGAGAUGGAUUUGAGAAUCCUGCAUCACUUGCUGAUGACUUGCCUUUCCGGCAUUUACAUUCUCAAUAUCGCCUUGAAAAUGGCCUUUUUUAUUUUGUGGGGACGGAUCCUGAUGAUUAUUUACGGCUUGUGGUGCCUUCGGUGUUUAUUCCGCGGUUUCUCCAUGCCUACCAUGAUUCUCCUGUUCUAGGUGGGCAUAUGGGACACCGUCGUGUUACUGAGAAGCUGCGCAGGUCUUUUUAUUGGCCGGAGAUGCGACGUGAUAUUAUCCGGUAUGUGCGUAGCUGCGUUUGGUGCCAAGCUCAUAAUACUCCCCCUCGUGCUGCGGAAGGACGGUUGAAGUCAAUUGCGGUUUCCCGUCCGUUUGAGUUAGUGGCGUUUGAUCUUAUGAGACCUUUUCCACGGUCGACUGCUGGCAAUGAGUAUGUUAUUAUUGCUUCUGACUACUUGACUUGUUGGGUGGAAGUUGGUGCUCUUGCUAGUGCCUCUGCAACUACUGUUGGAUACUUCCUCCUCAAUCAAGUGGUGUUCCAGCAUUCUUGUCCAGAGCGGAUUCUUUCGGAUAAUGGUCCCGCAUUUAUGGCUGAGGCAUUUCAUGUUUUGACGUCUCGGUUGGGGAUACGCCACACUUUCACGAGUGCUUAUCAUCCACAAUCAGACGGUCUGGUGGAACGGCUCGUUCGGACAUUCAAAGGGAUGAUUGCAAAGUAUGUGAACUUUCAGCAUUCGGAUUGGGAUGGUUAUUUGCUGUCUCUUCGGUAUGCAUAUGUUACAGGGGUGCAGAGUUCUGUUGGUGUUUCACCAUAUAAACUCCUAUAUAGUCAUGAUCCAAUAUUACCAACGGAGCUGGGUUUACCUUCACGAUUGCCACGAGCUGCCGAUGCUAAAUCAUGGGAUCAGUAUUUGACGAGCAUUCUUCCACUUGUCUGAGCAGAGUCUGCCGAACACUUAGGCCGCGUACAAGUGGGACAACAAUGGCGCUAUAACUCCCAUCAUCGUCCACCUGCGGAGUACAAAGUGGAUGAUUUGGUGUUAGUCCGUUUUCCCCAUCUUACAGUACGUGGUUUAUCUAAGGGGCUUCUUGCGCAAUGGAAAGGACCGUAUCGAGUGUUGUGGCAAGUUGGACCACAAGUUUAUGAGGCUCGGCGUGACGUUUAGCAGGCCGAUCCUCUAGAGAUUGUGCAUGUGCAGCGGCUGAAACGCUUCGUACAAAGGGAUCAGGAGGAGUUAUUACCACCUACAGAUCCACCGAUGCCUCCUCUUGACGUUCCUUCGGAUCCCGGCCCAUCUUCAAGAGAACCCUGAUGGUCUUCCAUUAUCCGAAGAGGAGGGGAUGAUGUGAGGGCCAAAUGUACGGUUACGAUGCCGUAUACUAAUAUUAGUGUAGUGGGAUUUUGGUAGCCGUCGGAUUGGUUUCAAUCUGGACCACUUGUUCCUGUAUAUAAGCUAGGGUUUUUGGGCUAAUUGAUAUGCACAUUUCUGUAUUCCCUUUCCAUAUUCCAGGCACUCACAACUAUAAAAUUAUUUUUUGGAAAAGUAUAAUGUGUUAACCAUCUAUCAAAAAAUUUAGAAUAAUUUUUUAUUUUAUCUAUGUUAAUUAAUAUAAUUAUUUUUAUUUCUUAACUAUUGGUUUAUAAGUAAACAAAAUCAGCUAUAAAGCUAACAUUAAAAAUAAAAAAAUUUAUUCUCAAAUUAAUAGCAUAAGAAGACAUGUUUUUGAAAAAAAUCAUGUCGAAGUUUUGGUGGCCAAUGGGUGGUUAGCAUAGUUAGUUAAAGAGGGAAAACAAUGGCAUGACAACUUUUAUAAAUUUAAAACUUUAUUAAGAUACUUAUAUAUGGCAAAAAUGUUUUUUGUACUCUAGUAUGUUCCUUUAAUUAAAGUGUUCAUACAUAACAAGAAUCCUUUUUAGUAUAAGCUAGUCUAAUUUAUAAUUGGGUUUAACUACUAUACUCACAAUUAUAGGAUUAGGAAGAAUAUAAAUAACAUAUUAACAUGUAUAUUAAUAUGGAGUGUAUCAGUAAGUUUAUGCUUUUUGCCAUAAACACUAAAUAACAAAUGGAUUACAAACACUAGGAGAAGAAUAAAUGCAAAGUAAUGAAAGUGUCUGUAAGUAAGGUAAAGGUUUAUUGAAGCACUAGAUUUAGAAUUGAGUUGCAAAAUUGAUAACAAUGCAUUUUAUGUGUUAUAUAGGUUGUAAUUGAUGAAGAGAGUAAACAAGUGUUACACUAUUUAAAAAUUCAAUACAAAGAAAUACAAAUAAUGGAUUUAAUGAAACAAGAAGGGUCACCAUAACUAUGGUGAAGCAAAGUGUAGUUUAUUUAAGCUAAUAUUAAGCUUAAACAAGCCUAUAUCAUUUGAGAAGCGAUUAAGCUUUCUUCUUUUCAUUAUUAUUUUCCAUUGUCUUUAACUAAGUUUUCAUUCAAGGAGUAAAUAUUUGGUAAUUAAGGUUUAGCAAUGGUUUUCUUGAAGUAUAUAAAUAAGCAAUAUCAAAGUUUUUAAAUUUGUAGAGUUUUAAUAAUGUAUUUUCCCCCUUUUUGUUUAUAUCAGAUUAAAAAGAAGAUCAAAGUUCUUGAUAUCAAAUGUUCUUUAAAAACAAAAAAUGAAAAAAAAAACCAAGGUAGGUUUAGCGUGUUCAAAGUGUUUAUUAUUUCCUCGUACUUUACAACCCUUUUGGAUCUGACAAGUAUUGAGCCUUGAAAGUUUAUUUACUUCUAAAUGUUGAUUUAAUCUUUAAUUGCAAAUUUUGGCAUUUUGUAAAUUCACUAAUUUAAGAAAAGUUAAUAGUUGUAUAAAGGGUAGUUUAACUUGUUGAGGGUCUAUUGAAUGCAUAGUGAUAGAUUUAUUGGACACAUUCUAACUACACAUGGCAUGGACAAGCUCAUCAUUCUAUUUUAGUAUGUUCAUCAACUCAGCCUGUUUAUUAUAAUAUGGACAAGUGCAUCAUUCCAUCUUAGUAUAUUCAUCAACUCAGCUUGUUUAUUUUUCAUUUAUGUUUUGCUAGGUUCAUGAUAUACUUUAAGAGUAUUCAAUAAAAGUAUCAAGAAAAAUAGAAUCUAACAUAUGCAUAUUCUUCCUUAAAGAAGUAGAGUAUAUGGAUUGCAAAACAUAUUAUAUUAUUGAGAUUAUUGUAAUAAUAUUUUAAUAUAAUAAAAUGUAUUGAGAAACAAAGAUAAAUUAUAGAGUGGAUAAGUUUUUGCCUUUUAUGAGUUGAAUCUAUUUUUAUUCAAAGAGUUUUAAAGAUUGCAUUGAUUAGCAUUUGCUAAGCAGUUUCUAGUCCAUAACAAUAAAGGGAAAUUGUUGAACUUUAUGAAUCUCGCCAAUUGAUGAUAUUAAAUAAAGGGUAAUAUCACUUUUUCACUAUGCAUUUUUUGAAUUGUUUUUGUAAUGUUGGGUCAUUAGGUUAGGGAAUAAGGUAGAUAUGAUAUUUAAUUUUUUCUCAUUCAAAUAAGUCUUGUAAGAGUAAAAUUUUCUUUACUAUAAUAAGAAAAUUGGACUGUAAAAGAGGAUUUAAGUAAGAAAGAAGCAUGCUAGGGUAAUAAGUCUAUUUCUCACGUCUUUAUUUAAAUCUUUGUAAGUUUUCUAAUUUUUUUUUUUUUGCAAAAAUUUUAGAUCUAUGAAUACUCUUCAAUCCCAAUAUAAAUCAUAGAUAAAAAUGCUAUGUUUUAAAGAUUUUAAAGGGGAAAGGGGAUUAUGGGAAUUAGCUUAUUUUUAACACAUAUCAAAGAAAGAUUAAGCCAACUUGAAGAAUAAACAAAAAUUUAAUCUCAAAGAAGAAAGUUAACACAUUUCAUCCUAUUGCUUUUUUUUCAAAUAAGGGAAAAUAUAAUAUUUUUUAAAGAAAAUUAUUCUUUUGGUAGAAAAAUACAUAAAUCCAAGAAAAAGAAGCUUAGGAAGCUAAAAAAAAAAGGUAUAAUAUAAAAUGGUCUAAAAAUUUNNNNNNNNNNNNNNNNNNNNNNNNNNNNNNNNNNNNNNNNNNNNNNNNNNNNNNNNNNNNNNNNNNNNNNNNNNNNNNNNNNNNNNNNNNNNNNNNNNNNUAUUCCUUCUUUGAUCCCUAUGAAGUUCCUUUUUGUUCACAACAAUAAUUAUUAAUUCUAUUAUUAAAACAGAUUCAAAGACAAUUUAGAUCUCUACAUAAUGCUUGAGUUAAUAGGAUUUAAUGGAUAGGUUUUUGGGCCCUCCUCACCACAUAACUAUACCCUUAGUUACUAAAUAAAAGGUCCAUUUAAAUUUUAUUGAAUUCUCUAACCAUGUAGAUAGAGCAAGGUUCUGAUAAAGUAUACAAAAUAUCCAAAUAGUGCUACACCCACUUAGAUUGAGAGCAUUAACUAUUCAAUCUCCUUGAGGAGUUAGAGUUGGCUAUUAAACACUUCACCAAAUCAUUCAAUUUAUCUAUUCAUAUUUAAUUUAAUUUUGGACUCUUUAAUGUUUAUAUCAUCACCCACUAUAUGAAAAUAACUUUUUUUUCAUAUUGGUUCUUUAUAAUCCUCCCUUUAUUAUCUCGUAGAGACUUAUCAAACCCCUUAAUGUUUGAGAAAAAAUUGCUUCAGGCUUUCACUCCACCCUCACCCCACCCUCGGAUAUGUUUGUCCCUAGAUAUAUUAAGCCUUGAACUCGGUAUUGGACAUGGUUUAAGAUUCGAUCCUGGACUUAAUUUUAGUUUCAAUUUUGGAGUUGUUUCAAACUUGGUCUUGAAUUUGGUUUUGCACUUUAUCUCAACACUUCUAUAUAUUAUAAUAAUUGCCACAUGUUAGUCAUUCUUUUGUUCUUUUUUAAAAACUCAUUUAUCUAUCGUUUUGUGCUCAUUCCUAACACUUCUUUAGAAGUUCACUUCUUUUUGACUUUUUGAGUCAAAGCUUUUAGUCCAAAUAUGUUAUACUCAUUGAACUUUUACCUCAACCACUACCUUUCGACUUUACUUUGGGAUUUAGGGAUUUGUAUUUUAUAAAUCUUUCAUGACUAAUCUAGUUUGAUAUCCAAGUAGUUUUUCCCUUAAGCCUCUAAUAUUACACCAUGAUUGCUGCCCUCUUCUUUAUACCCAUGUUAUACACGAGUUAUAUAUCAGACAAUAUUUAAGAGCUAAUAAAACCUAAGUAAGAUUUUAAAACUAAAAUUCUAUCACAAUAUUUAAUUUUGUGUUUUUAAUAGCUAUAUAAGAUAGAGAGAAACUAGUGCUAUAAAGUUGGGGUGUUUAAUAUAUAGGAGUGAGGCAUAAAAUUUAUGAAGGUUUAAACAAAGGCAUUUCUCACUCAAAUCUUUAAUUCAAAACCCCACCCCACCCCACCCCCACCCCCCCCCUUCCCCCUCUCUAAAUCAUAUCCAUAUGAUAAAUGGAAAAUUAUAGAGUAAAUGUUUUUGUAGAUUUUAUGACAUUUUAAGCUAUAAUACAUUUUAGUGUCAUUCAAGUGUUCAUCACUUUUUUCAAUUUAAAUCUAAUUUAGAGAAAAGGAACUCAUCCCAUUGUUCUAUUUCAUUAAUAUUCUUGAGUUUAGAAAAGAACUUAAUAAAACUAUACAAAUAAGUAGUUUGUUGAGUUCAACUAUUUAUUAAAUUGCAUUUCAUUAUAGGGUCAAAAAUAUCUCAAGACCUCUUGUUUUUAAAAGAAAAACAUUCUUUUCCAUAUUUGUCUUAGAUUCUAUCACAAGAUUUAUUCACUCAAUUACAAAGCUCAAUUACCACUAUAUAUAUAUUUUUAUUUAUUUAUUUAUUUAUAUAUAUAUAGUAAAUUGAAUGCCACUNNNNNNNNNNNNNNNNNNNNNNNNNNNNNNNNNNNNNNNNNNNNNNNNNNNNNNNNNNNNNNNNNNNNNNNNNNNNNNNNNNNNNNNNNNNNNNNNNNNNNNNNNNNNNNNNNNNNNNNNNNNNNNNNNNNNNNNNNNNNNNNNNNNNNNNNNNNNNNNNNNNNNNNNNNNNNNNNNNNNNNNNNNNNNNNNNNNNNNNNNNNNNNNNNNNNNNNNNNNNNNNNNNNNNNNNNNNNNNNNNNNNNNNNNNNNNNNNNNNNNNNNNNNNNNNNNNNNNNNNNNNNNNNNNNNNNNNNNNNNNGAAGCUUUGGAAAAAAAUGAGAAGAAAAAAAAUUAUAAAAAAACUCAGUUUGUUGCAUAUUAUAUGGAACAACACUUGAUUUUCUUAAUAAUAGUGUAAUUCUUGUUUAGUAUUAUUUAAUAAUAUAAUUGAUCAAUCAAAACUUUAUAAUUUAAAAAUAUAAGAUUAAUUUUAUUGCACACCAUUAUAUGGUAGAAUAAAAUAGAAUAUACUAGAAAGUGUUUAGAAAAAUUUAUAAUUUAUAAACAUGUUUAUAAAUUAUAAAUAUAAUAUUAAUUUAAAUGAAUAACAACUAUUAAAUAGUAGAAUCUCCCAGAAUAUCUAAAUAUAUUUUUGAUGUAUCUAUCAGCUCUCUCUCCUUGAUAGAAAAAUUUUGGAUGUUAAGGGCUUUCUAUUGAGUAAAGUUUCCUUGCAUUUUUUCUUGCUAAACACCCAGCACCCAUAGCUUAUUAUGAAGGUGGAGAAGGUUGGAGAUGGUUCCUCCAUGCUAGAUGUGGCAUUGGUAUGUCCUCUUCUUGGCAAGAAAGAAUAAAAAUUCUUACUCAAGCUAAAAGUUUAUUUUAUGUUUGUGGCUAUUAUACGAGUGUUGGCAUUGCUUUCAUUAGCUUCAAGGUUUAUAGUGAAUUCUCAUGUCAUGAGUUUACAAAUCUUUUUUCUGCCAUCUUUAUCAAGUGCAAUAUAUGUCAUCCAAGUGAAAAAGAGAGACUAAGGCAUUUCUUUUUUCUCAUAUCUAUCCCAGAGCAAGUUACUAAGGCACUCAAGGAGCACAAAACAAUGUUUGUGAGACUGGAUGUAUAUAUUAAUUAUGUAGGCAUUGCUGAGCAAAGGGACUUCCUUAGUAAUGCAAAAUGGUGCAAGGCCUUGAGUGUGAACCUAUCAAAUGCACAAUCCAAGUAAUACGUCUCAAUUCUCACAAUUUCCUCAUUCCACAUUCUUCAAGAGAGCACAUUCUAGCCAUAAGAAUCUGAUGCGGGAGAGGAAGAACAUUGUGCUAAACUUAAUGCUUUAUGACUUUAUGAGAGAAAUGACAAGCUGUUUGGAAGCAAUUGAGGAGGAUUGGGUGUUGGGAAUUGGGAGUAUUUGGAAUAUUUACACUUAUUUCUCUGCUAUGAUCUAGAUGAAGUGAUGGGGAAGUUCCAGAAGAAGAAUUGAGUUCUGAAUGAAUGUGUGGUGCUCAUAUCAAAUUUCAUUACUACUACAUCCAAAAAACGAAAGUAAAGUGAUGAAAAACUUUUUUCAACUUUGAAAGGGUAAGGUGUAAGCUUUAUAUAUAAAGAAUGCUGAAAGUUAUUGUGAGUAUGGGAUGGGUUUGGGUAUCUGGGAGCUAGGAUUGUAUGUAUCUAGGAAAGCCAAUAGCAAUGUUGUAACAUGUUUCUUUGAUAAAUUUAGUUACUUAUCUUUUUUAGUCUAACAAGAGACAAAGUUUUCAUAGACAUUAGUAUCCAGUUUAACUCUAGUUCAAAAAGCAAUUUGCUCUUUACUGUGUUAAUAAAUUAUGUUACUACUUUCUUUUGAAGUUUUAGACUCAUUAAAUAACAUAAACCUUUAUUUAUCAUUAUGUUUCACUAUUUUUUUAAAAAUGGUUUAAAUUUAAAUAGCUAUAAAUAUAACGAAACAAGCAUUUGCUCGGUAAAGAAAAAAUCCAAAUAAAUAGGAAUAAGAACCACCCUAGGGCCUGUUGAAUUUUGGUUUGAAAAUUUGGCUGAAGUGUCGGCGGUGUCCACGAUGCGAGAGAACGCGUUCAAGCCCUAGCCAGCGUUCCAGGCGGGGCCGAUCGCCAAUGCCAGAGGACGAUGCAUAUCGAUUCGAGGUUACGGGGCCAAAGCGCAAGCAUUUCAACUGGUAAAGAAUCUCGCCGCCCUAGCUGCAUUGCUCUGUUUGAAGCGAUUCUUGGCGGGCUGGGUGUGUGAUUUUGUCAGUAGAAUCCCGUUUCGAUUGAUUCCAAUCGCCCCCGACAGAAUUCUCAGCUACCCUAGGCUUGUCUUUGGAUCAUAUUUCAUUUGUCCCAUUUUGGUGUCUCUUUCGUUCACUUGCGUGCUAAGGGCUGAUUGAUAAGUAGCUAGAGUUAUUUCGAUGGCUAGUCUUUAGUGGAUUGGUCCUCACUUCUCCAUUCUUUUUUUUUUGUUGUUUCGCAAAGCUUGCUUGGGCUUGAGUUCAUUGUCUACUUUUUUGUUUCAUUGCUGCUAAAGACUUGGUCCGGUUAGAGUUCUCGUCCUUUAAAAGCUUUUUAUCUCGAUUCCUCGCGAGUUCUUACCAUACAUUCUUUCCAGGGAUGUUCCGGACGACAAAAGAGCAAUCUUGGCAUGCCUUGUGUCAAGCGUGUACUCACUCCAGCACGACAGAUCGAAAAACUACACAGGAACUCCGCAAGCUCUCGCUCCUCCCUGGUGGACGUCCUUCAACUACGAGCUCCUCGACGUGAUCCUCGGCAAUGACAAGCUCCGGAUCAACGGCGCAGUGUUCGUGUGGAACUACAAAAACCACUGGAAGCCUGCCAGAGCUCCGAUGGUGGUCCUGGCGCUCAGAGGCACGGACAGCCUAACCAGCGACCUCAUCGUCGACUUCAAGAUCGCCAACCAGGAGCUUUACAAGACAGGCAGGUUCACAGCCGCGUACAACGCUCUCCGAAACGCCGUCGCAUGGCAUGGCAAGGACAACGUUUGCAUCACGGGGCACUCGCUCGGAGCAGCGGUGGCGCUCUCCGCCGCUCGGAUGAUGGCAUCGCAUGGCCAGUUCGUCGAGGCUCAUCUCUUCAAUCCGCCAUUCUCGUCCUCGACCGCUCCAUACAAGUCACUCUUCGGUGCUGAGACUUACAGCAAUCUCCAAGAGGUUUACACCGUUGCAAAGGCCGGGCUCGUCAACUUACUGGUGGAUGCCGCAAAGAGAAGGGAGUCCGAGGCAGAGUUUGCGGCACUUGGAAGCUGGUACCCGGACAUGUAUGUUCAUCCCAGUGAUCCGGUAUGCUCGGGCUUUCUCGAGCACUUCAAGAACUAUCAGUAUAUGCUACAGGGGAAGUACGCGAGAUUGGCGAUGCCUCACGAAUCCAUCCGGGGCGUGCUCUGCUCCUCCAAAGCGAAGCCGCAUCACCUCAUCCCCUCGGCAAGGCUUCACGUCCCAGCGGAUGAAGGCAAAGCUGCGAGUGCUCGAGACGCUCAUUCUCUUACACAGUGGUGGUCGGAUGGAGCAGUCGUUCAGGUGCAAUUUGUCAACUUGACAGGUCAAGAACACUUGGAUCAUCCGCUGCAAAUCUUGUUUGGGGGGAUAAGCUAUGAACCUAUGGUGUAGUACGCGGCAAUGAUUUCAUGGUACAUAUUUUCUCUGUGCUCAAAGAACCCGAGAAAAAAGAUUUUUAUUUUUUCCUGUG
rnacentral:lncRNA from 1 species